GAUGAAGAACGCAGCGAAAUGCGAUAAGUAAUGUGAAUUGCAGAAUUCAGUGAAUCAUCGAACCUUUGAACGCACAUUGCGCCCGUCAGUAUUCUGGCGGGCAUGCCUGUUCGAGCGUCAUUACGCCCCUCAAGUCCCCUGUGGACUUGGUGUUGGGGAUCGGCGAGGCUGGUUUUCCAGCACAGCCGUCCCUUAAAUUAAUUGGCGGUCUCGCCGUGGCCCUCCUCUGCGCAGUAGUAAAACACUCGCAACAGGAGCCCGGCGCGGUCCACUGCCGUAAAACCCCCCAACUUUUUAUAGUUGACCUCGAAUCAGGUAGGACUACCCGCUGAACUUAAGCAUAUCAAUAAGCGGAGGA
rnacentral:misc_RNA from 1 species